GACGGGACCCGCACAAGCGGUGGAUGAUGUGGUUUAAUUCGAUGCAACGCGAAAACCUUACCCACCUUUGACAUGGCAGGAAUCCCGAAGAGAUUUGGGAGUGCUCGAAAGAGAACCUGCACACAGGUGCUGCAUGGCUGUCGUCAGCUCGUGUCGUGAGAUGUUGGGUUAAGUCCCGCAACGAGCGCAACCCUUGCCAUUAGUUGCUACGAAAGGGCACUCUAAUGAGACUGCCGGUGACAAACCGGAGGAAGGUGGGGAUGACGUCAAGUCCUCAUGGCCCUUAUAGGUGGGGCUACACACGUCAUACAAUGGCCGGUACAAAGGGUCGCAAACCCGCGAGGGGGAGCCAAUCCAUCAAAGCCGGUCGUAGUCCGGAUCGCAGUCUGCAACUCGACUGCGUGAAGUCGGAAUCGCUAGUAAUCGUGGAUCAGCAUGUCACGGUGAAUACGUUCCCGGGUCUU
rnacentral:rRNA from 1 species